rnacentral:rRNA from 1 species
GAUGAACGCUGGCGGCGUGCCUAAUACAUGCAAGUCGAGCGAAGAGGGGACGGGUGAGUAACACGUGGAUAACCUCCUAUAAGACUGGGAUAACUUCGGGAAACCGUAGCUAAACCGGAUACUUAUCGAUGGAUCCGCGCUGCAUUAGCUAGUUGGUAAGGUAACGGCUUACCAAGGCAACGAUGCAUAGCCGACCUGAGAGGAUGACCUGCCACACUGGAACUGAGACACGGUCCAGACUCCUACGGGAGGCAGCAGUGGGGAAUCUUGCGCAAUGGGCGAAAGCCUGACGGAGCAACGCCGCGUGAGUGAUGAAGGUCUUCGGGUCGUAAAACUCUGUUAUUAAGGAAGCGGUACCUGAACAAAAAGCCCCGGCUAACUCCGUGCCAGCAGCCGCGGUAAUUC